rnacentral:lncRNA from 1 species
GUGAACAGUGUGUGUGUGUAGGGAGGUGUGAGGGAUGAUGGAAAAUUAUACCUUUUACUGAUGACUCUGCAGUAGGACUUCAGAAGACAUCUCACUAUUUGACCUGUGCAGUUUGUGAUUUUUCUGUCUGGAGCUGCCUACGUUGCUGAACUACCAGUCUGAAGAACUGAAGAGACAUACUGUGCAAGUAAAUUAGGAGCAGACCAACGGAAAUCAGGCAGAACCUGCUAGGACUUGAGGAAAAGUUUUUCUCAUUUUGCACCUUUCUUCAGCAUUCCCGUUACGACCAAUCUUCCUACUUGUGUGGAAGAUCCUAUUUCUUGUCUAGGUGCUGUUUCUUGACCUUCAGACACAAAAAACGGAGAAAGGGUAAAAGGGAGGAACAUAGCUUCAAGGGAACAGACUACAACAGCAAAUUGGAACAAGCAUGGAUGCAGCUACCAAGUACCUGGGGGAAAAUAGUUUGUCUGCAGUGAGGAAGUGUAUCCUCUAAGGAAGCAUCAGCCAGCCUCCAGAGGGGACAGGCAUCUGCGGAGUUAAAAUAUUACUCCCUAGGGGUGACCAUUCACAGUCUAUGCAGUAAUGGAAGGUGAUGAUAGUGCCUUCUACUAGGAUAGUAUGGCUGCCUAUUCCGUGCCCAUCACCCCCCUGGCUCAAACCCUUUCCCUGAC